rnacentral:rRNA from 1 species
UGGCGGCAGGCCUAACACGUUGACAAGUCGAACGGUACAUGACUAGCUUGCUAGUUGAUGACGAGUGGAGGUGAGUAACGCGUAGUGAAUCUACCCAGUAGCGGGGGAUAAGCCAGAGAAAUUUGGUCUAAUACCGCAUACGCCCUAAGGGGGAAAGCAGGGGAUCUUCGGACCUUGCACUAUUGGAUGAGCCUGCGUGAGAUUAGCUUGUUGGUGAGGUAAUGGCUCACCAAGGCAACGAUCUCUAGCUGGUCUGAGAGGAUGAUCAGCCACACUGGAACUGAGACACGGUCCAGACUCCUACGGGAGGCACGACAGUGGGGAAUAUUGCACAAUGGGCGCAAGCCUGAUGCAGCCAUGCCGCGUGUGUGAAAGAAGGCCCUAGGGUUGUCAAGCACUUUCAGGCAGUGAGGAAAGGUUGUACAGUUCAAUACCGUGCCAGGCUGCGACGUUACCUGCAGAAGAAGCACCGGACUAAACUCCGGUGCCACGCACCCGCCGGUAAUACCGGAGGGUGCGAGCGUUAAUCGGAAUUACUGGGCGUUAAGGCGCGACGUAGAGUGGAUUGGGUCAAGUCAGAAUAGUGAAACGCCCAGGGCUCAACCUUGGGAACUUG